CAUUCGACGCGGAAAAUCCAAACUUUCCACUUGAGGAUUUACGACUACUUGGUGUAAUGGGACUCAUGGAUCCACCUCGAGAAGAGGUGCGCACAGCUAUAGGGCGAGUACGCGCG